CGCGCCUGGUGCGCACGGUCGGGGUGCUGGCGUUCCGGCCGCUGCUGCUCGCGGUCGCCGUGGUGGGCGGCGCGAUCCGUCCCGUACGGGCGCGG
rnacentral:tRNA from 1 species